rnacentral:rRNA from 1 species
AACACAUGCAAGUCGAGCGCCCCGCAAGGGGAGCGGCAGACGGGUGAGUAACACGUGGGAAUCUACCCAUCCCUACGGAACAACUCCGGGAAACUGGAGCUAAUACCGUAUACGCCCUUCGGGGGAAAGAUUUAUCGGGGAUGGAUGAGCCCGCGUUUGGAUUAGCUAGUUGGUGGGGUAAAGGCCUACCAAGGCGACGAUCCAUAGCUGGUCUGAGAGGAUGAUCAGCCACAUUGGGACUGAGACACGGCCCAAACUCCUACGGGAGGCAGCAGUGGGGAAUAUUGGACAAUGGGCGCAAGCCUGAUCCAGCCAUGCCGCGUGAAUGAUGAAGGCCUUAGGGUUGUAAAGUUCUUUCACCGAUGAAGAUAAUGACGGUAGUCGGAGAAGAAGCCCCGGCUAACUUCGUGCCAGCAGCCGCGGUAAUACGAAGGGGGCUAGCGUUGUUCGGAAUUACUGGGCGUAAA